rfam:Ciona savignyi cont_6542, whole genome shotgun sequence.
AAAACGGCUCUUUUUAGAGUCACCCCAUUUUGGAAAAAAAGGCUUA